UACGUAGGGGGCAAGCGUUGUCCGGAAUCAUUGGGCGUAAAGAGCGCGUAGGCGGCCCAGUAAGUCCGCUCUGAAAGUCAGGGGGCUCAACCCCUGAAUGCGGGUGGAUACUGCUGGGCUAGAGUCCGGAAGAGGCGAGUGGAAUUCCUGGUGUAGCGGUGAAAUGCGCAGAUAUCAGGAGGAACACCAGUGGCGAAGGCGGCUCACUGGCCCGGUACUGACGCUGAGGUGCGAAAGCGUGGGGAGCAAACAGG
rnacentral:rRNA from 1 species